rnacentral:rRNA from 1 species
UUUGACAUACAAGUAGUAGGGAAGGGAAACUGGACCGACCCUUCGGGGAGCUUGUACAGGUGCUGCAUGGCUGUCGUCAGCUCGUGUCGUGAGAUGUUCGGUUAAGUCCGCUAACGAGCGCAACCCUCGCUGUGUGUUACAAGUGUCACACGGAACUGCCGGUCAUAAACCGGAGGAAGGUGGGGAUGACGUCAAGUCAGCAUGGCCUUUAUAUCCUGGGCUACACACACGCUACAAUGGGAAGGGACAAUAGGUUGCGAAGCCGCGAGGCGGAGCCAAUCCAGCAAAACUUCCCUCAGUUCAGAUUGCAGGCUGCAACCCGCCUGCAUGAAGUUGGAGUUGCUAGUAAACGCAGGUCAGCCAUACUGCGUUGAAUACGUUCCCGGGGCUU